ACAAUCUCUGGUAAUUACUUUCUCCGUUCCAUUUUAAGCGUAGUUAUGAGUUUUAUUUGAAAUUUUUUUAUGAUUAGUUUUUUUAUUGUUAUUAGAUGAUAAAACAAAAUUAAUAUUUUAUACGUGACUGAUGUUUUUUAUUUUUUUCAAAUAAUUUUCAAACAACGCGUACAAUUAAAGUUGAACACAGAAGCUCGUGACUGCGUUUAAA
rnacentral:pre_miRNA from 1 species